AGUCGACACAGCAAUGUGUGGCAUACGGCUCAGUAACACGUAGUCAACAUGCCCAGGGGACGUGGAUAACCUCGGGAAACUGAGGAUAAACCGCGAUAGGUCACUACUUCUGGAAUGGGUAAUGACCCAAACCUAUAUGGCCCCUGGAUUGGACUGCGGCCGAUCAGGCUGUUGGUGAGGUAAUGGCCCACCAAACCUGUAACCGGUACGGGCUCUGAGAGGAGGAGCCCGGAGAUGGGCACUGAGACAAGGGCCCAGGCCCUAUGGGGCGCAGCAGGCGCGAAACCUCUGCAAUAGGCGAAAGCUUGACAGGGUUACUCUGAGUGAUUUCCGUUAAGGAGAUCUUUUGGCACCUCUAAAAAUGGUGCAGAAUAAGGGGUGGGCAAGUCUGGUGUCAGCCGCCGCGGUAAUACCAGCACCCCGAGU
rnacentral:rRNA from 1 species